rnacentral:rRNA from 1 species
GACGAACGCUGGCGGCGUGCUUAACACAUGCAAGUCGAACGGAAAGGCCCUGCUUUUGUGGGGUGCUCGAGUGGCGAACGGGUGAGUAACACGUGAGUAACCUGCACUUGACUUUGGGAUAACUUCAGGAAACUGGGGCUAAUACCGGAUAGGAGCUCCUGCUGCAUGGUGGGGGUUGGAAAGUUUCGGCGGUGGGGGAUGGACUCGCGGCUUAUCAGCUUGUUGGUGGGGUAGUGGCUUACCAAGGCUUUGACGGGUAGCCGGCCUGAGAGGGUGACCGGCCACAUUGGGACUGAGAUACGGCCCAGACUCCUACGGGAGGCAGCAGUGGGGAAUAUUGCACAAUGGGCGGAAGCCUGAUGCAGCAACGCCGCGUGCGGGAUGACGGCCUUCGGGUUGUAAACCGCUUUCGCCUGUGACGAAGCGUGAGUGACGGUAAUGGGUAAAGAAGCACCGGCUAACUACGUG